CACUGCCCGGUAGCUAAAUGCGGAAGAGAUAAGUGCUGAAAGCAUCUAAGCACGAAACUUGCCCCGAGAUGAGUUCUCCCUGACUCCUUGAGAGUCCUGAAGGAACGUUGAAGACGACGACGUUGAUAGGCCGGGUGUGUAAGCGCAGCGAUGCGUUGAGCUAACCGGUACUAAUGAACCGUGAGGCUUAACCUU
rnacentral:rRNA from 1 species